rnacentral:rRNA from 1 species
UACGUAGGGUGCGAGCGUUGUCCGGAAUUAUUGGGCGUAAAGAGCUCGUAGGCGGUGUGUCACGUCGGCCGUGAAAACCUGCAGCUUAACUGUGGGCGUGCGGUCGAUACGGGCAUCACUGGAGUUCGGCAGGGGAGACUGGAAUUCCUGGUGUAGCGGUGAAAUGCGCAGAUAUCGGGAGGAACACCGGUGGCGAAGGCGGGUCUCUGGGCCGGUACUGACGCUGAUGCGCGAAAGCGUGGGGAGCAAACGGG